UACAGAGGGUGCGAGCGUUGUCCGGAAUCACUGGGCGUAAAGGGCGCGUAGGCGGCUUGAUAAGCGUGCGGUGAAAGCCCGGGGCUCAACCCCGGAUCGGCCGUGCGAACUGUCGAGCUGGAGCACUGUAGAGGCAGGUGGAAUUCCGGGUGUAGCGGUGGAAUGCGUAGAGAUCCGGAAGAACACCGGUGGCGAAGGCGGCCUGCUGGGCAGUGGCUGACGCUGAGGCGCGACAGCGUGGGGAGCAAACAGG
rnacentral:rRNA from 1 species